rnacentral:tRNA from 1 species
AGAAAAGAUAAUUAAGCUUCUAACUUAGUGUAUGACUAAACUCACUUUUCUUU